UCCCUAGUGUCUGCCUCCUCGCCCUGCGCGGUGCCAGCCCAGGGCUGGCUCCAGGUUUCCCGGGCACCUCUAACCUGCAUUUCUGACACACUGGCCUUAACUCAAGGACAUCACACUGAUGGAUGGAGGAGGCAUCUCUGAUUCUUGUUUCCCCAGCCCUGAGCAACGCUAGCCAUAAGUGCCUGAAAGAGAAACAAUCAAACAGGAUUCUGAGGUUGCACUUUUCCCCUUCCCUGCUGGGAAGAUACCAGUUCUGGGCCCUCGGCUGUCAGUCUCCUAGAGUGAAGCAUGGGCACGAAUCCAGGGCCUGAGCUUCUUUGAAGUUUCCCACUUCAUUGAUGAUGCUCCACUAUCCUUCAGCUUCUCUGCUUCAGCUACUUCAGAGUCCCCAUUCUUCACAAAACCGGAAAGGACUUGACAUCUGCUGUAAUCUAUGCUUAAGCAUGUUUGAUAUAAUUUCAGUUUUGUCUCUCACAUUGUGCAUCUAUCCUCGUGACACACCCUGGAAGCCAUUCUUCCUAUGUGCAACUUGCCCUGUCACAGAACGGCUGCUUCACCUCUAAGCAUUGUCUCUGCAUUCUGGGUGGGAAAAAGGAAAACAGAAAAGGACAAGAAAACAUGCA